rnacentral:rRNA from 1 species
GAUGAACGCUGACAGAAUGCUUAACACAUGCAAGUCUACUUGAACUUCGGUUUGGGUGGCGGACGGGUGAGUAACGCGUAAAGAACUUGCCUCACAGUUAGGGACAACAUUUGGAAACGAAUGCUAAUACCUGAUAUUAUGAUUUUAGGGCAUCCUAGGAUUAUGAAAGCUAUAUGUGCUGUGAGAGAGCUUUGCGUCCCAUUAGCUAGUUGGAGAGGUAACGGCUCACCAAGGCGAUGAUGGGUAGCCGGCCUGAGAGGGUGAACGGCCACAAGGGGACUGAGACACGGCCCUUACUCCUACGGGAGGCAGCAGUGGGGAAUAUUGAACAAUGGACCAAAAGUCUGAUACAGCAAUUCUGUGUGCACGAUGACGUUUUUCGGAAUGUAAAGUGCUUUCAGUUGGGAAGAAAAAAAUGACGGUACCAACAGAAGAAGUGACGGCUAAAUACGUG